AGACUAUUCAUAUUCUUUUGCACACCAUCAAAAAAUAUGGAGGUUUGGCUCUUCUGACUUCCCAAGGGAAGGAAAAGAUGGGUGCAUUCUAUUUGAACUAAUCCUCAUUUCUUCCGUCAUACAACCAAGAACUGGUCCCUUUUGAUUAUAGAAUUAAGUGCAGGACUUCAAAGAAUGGAGGUGACUCUUCAACAUCUUUCAAGUUCUAUUCAGGAGAAAACCCCUCUGCUGCUUUUAGUCACCAGCUUCUUAAAUUCAGGCAAGCAGAUGUAGCCAGGAGCCAGAAACUCCCUGUAAUUCAACUCCAGAAUUACAAUUAUUCCUGUAAUUCCUGCCAGAAGUUGACUAUAGAGUUUUGGUGGAACACUGAAAGAUUCACAGUUUUCCCAUUUUCACAGGGAUCAUGUCCCUCUAACGCCACCAAAUGUGGAGGGUUGACUGUACCCAAUAUGCCCCAUACACAAUCAGUAAACAAAGAGCAGUGAAAGUCACUGUAAUGGCAACAAACUGCUCAUAAAUACCUCUAUGCCCCCAAAUGUUGUGUUGUUUUGAGGGAUGUUGGAUUAAUAAAGU
rnacentral:lncRNA from 11 species